rnacentral:rRNA from 1 species
UACAGAGGGUGCAAGCGUUGUUCGGAAUUAUUGGGCGUAAAGAGCUCGUAGGCGGUUUGUUGCGUCGGCUGUGAAAUCCCGAGGCUCAACCUCGGGUCUGCAGUCGAUACGAGCAAACUAGAGUGUUGCAGGGGAGACUGGAAUUCCUGGUGUAGCGGUGAAAUGCGCAGAUAUCAGGAGGAACACCGGUGGCGAAGGCGGUGGUCUGGGCCGGCACUGACGCUGAGGAGCGAAAGCGUGGGUAGCAAACAGG